CUGGUGAAGGUCGUCCCGGCUCCGAGCAGGACCAACAUCGCCAGGACGAUAUAGGCCAUGUAGGACUUGACGUUGAUAUCGGCGUGACGUGCGUGAUACAGUUUCAGGGUGCACAGCACUGCUAAUACGUACAUGAAUGAGAUUUGCCGUACCGAAUUGGUAAUUCAUGCGGGUCGGACAGAGGUGGUAGCAAGCGCUGAGUAUCCCCUCGACGAUCAGACCGAAACCCAUGGAAUACGAGAGGCCGUAAUGAGGCGGAAUGCCUCUCUGCGGAUGGAUCCCGCCGUCGUUACAUGCAGGGAUGAAGAAGACAUAGUACCGUGACAGCUCAUAUCCAGAUGUCCGUCUUCCGUCGUUGUCGUUUCGCUAUUUCGGGGUGUUUAUUCAAAAAAAUGGAAAACCCGUUUUUCUUUAAAUGUUAACGUUUAAGUGCUGCAAAAUUGUACUUUACCUGAUGUGAGACUCGGGUACUUCAGAGAUCGGUUCCAACUCGGAUUUGUCUAAAACAGAUAAAACUUUUAUGCAACUUACGCAUUUUCACCGUGACCUCCCACUCUCGGCGGGCCUGUUUGGUUCGUUUCCUAAACAUUACAGCAUCAAGGGGUGUUAUGACCAUCUCUCCCAAAAAAGGCGAAUUACACAACAUAAAGUAGGGCACCUUCUAACUUCAACGAGGACGCAUGUGGCGAUAAUCAAAAGGAUAAAUCCCGCGUAGACGCCCAACGUAGCAACAAAGAUCACGUAACGGAAUUGUUGGACGGACACCUGCAGGUUUAUAGCGGACAUACAGUUUCCUGGAUAGUGAAAGUGACUUCUUUCGUGCGGUUAGUUCGCCAUGGCGCUAAAGUCCGGCUGUUCACGCAUUUUUCAUCAUCCGUGUUGACGAUGUAGACUAGGUACACUCACGGCACAAACAACUGACUAUCGACCGUCAUUUUAAGGCUGAAGGUGACAUUCGAUCGGCUCGAAGUUGAAACAUCAACAACAAUUUGAUUAACCGAUUCUGCACGUCUCGUAGGCUGAGGACACAAUGUUCUUCGAAAGUAGCUGCUGUCAGUGAAGAGAAUUACUUACUGGUAGCCGGAAGACGAUUCCAAGACAUAUGGCAACUCCCACGAAGUCACUGCUUUUUGUUGUCGCACAACAAACAGAAUCGGAUGUUCUACGUCAGCGUCGGAACUG